rnacentral:rRNA from 1 species
UACGAAGGGUGCAAACGUUGCUCGGAAUCAUUGGGCGUAAAGCGCACGUAGGCGGCUUCGCAAGUCGGAUGUGAAAUACCUAGGCUCAACCAAGGACGUGCAUCCGAAACUGCGAGGCUUGAGUACAGAAGAGGAUCGCGGAAUUCCCGGUGUAGAGGUGAAAUUCGUAGAUAUCGGGAGGAACACCAGUGGCGAAGGCGGCGAUCUGGGCUGAUACUGACGCUGAGGUGCGAAAGCGUGGGGAGCAAAC